AACGGACUCCCUCAUCACCGCGUUUAGUCCUUACUUUGACCGAGCCGCACACCUUCCGUACCAAGAUGAUGCUUAAAGCCGUCGUCCUCCUGGCCAUCGUGGCUUUCGCCGCCGCCGUCCCAGGCACCAAAUACUAUCCAGCCCCAGACGGCAGUGGAAGAAUCCUUUACUUCCCCAACGGCUACGUGAGCGGCAACUACGCAGGAGGUAUCCCAGUGUCUGGCUAUGGUGCUCUCCCAGCCUCCAGACCAGUCGUCGCUCCACGCAGAAGCUAUGUCCGCCCCAGCUAUUCCGGCUAUGGUUACGGCAGACGCAGCUACGGUUACCGUCGUGGUGGACUUUACGGCUUGUACGGACGUCGCAGCUACGGUGGAUAUUAUUAAAGCCGCAGUUAGAUACAGCAUCUACCAAUAGUGCCACCAAGUCCCAACCUGUAGUUUUACCUGGGCUUUAUUACCUGUUACCAUGACAACAUCUGCCGGACGCUACCAACAGCAAAGGGGUUAUUUGCUUUUACGGCCAAUCUGAGAAUGAACUUUUUAUGCUCUUGAGGUGGACUUUUGUGAUCAACACCAUUGAUUUCACAGUAGAAUCGCUUUACCUCUCUGUUUUUAAUUUAAACCUGUUCAAUAAAGCCUUUACUUUAUA